UUGGUGUUGUUGAUGGCGCAGAUUGUGGCGAGGUUGAGCGUAUGGAGCAGAGGGACCAGGGCCGGCCGAUGGCUUGUUUCCUCUAUACGUACUUGAUGGUUAGCCCAUGUAGCAGAUCGACUGAUUCUGAGAAAGGAAAAAAAUGGUAACAAAACGACUAAUUCUUGGCUUGCUGCAUGCGCGUGAUCUUCUCUGGUUUCUCUUCCCCAAUUGGCAACGAACCAGCCAUGCCAAGGUCAACGGCGCCUUGUCCACACCGUCUAAUUGCGACUUCCGGCUGUUGGAUGUGAUUAGUGCAGGAAGAUCCGUUGCUGCUACAGAACCCAACUCCUGAGCACGUCGGAGUUGAGCAAGAAGACAGGAGGAGGUGUCGAGGACGAAGAGGCCCCUCUUCCUUUUUGGUCCACGCCGCUACGAAAGUGAUAUUAGGUGAACUUGUUAUACUCUUUCUGGUUCAAUGGAACUUACCUACGCACAUUAGGGGUUUUACUUUAGCUGGUGAGUGUUUGUGAGCGAGAUGGCUGUCGCUUCCGCAUGGAUCCACCUCCUAGCCGUUGACCACUUCAUUGGAAGGCACGUGUAACCUUGAUGGGCAAAUAUGGUGAAGACUUGAAGUUGAUAUACUAAUGUGGUAUAUGAAGCUAUGAUCAAGGGCGUCACACAGAUCGGCUUGCAAUGUUGAGCAGAUCACCAUGUUAAAAGAUGAGCAUUUAGAGAAGUGUGUGCUCGCCAAGGAUCCAAUGGGUUUCUGAAGAGUUGGCUGCACAUCGUUGGUGUCUGAUGCACUAUCAGGUAUACAUGAGGUCCGCUCUUGGUUUUACCUUGGUCUUGUAGUUAGCAAAUCAAUUUUUUUUGGAAUGUUCGACUUUAAUUGCAUUUAGAUAGUCUUUCACCCAUCCAUAUCUUUGAGAUUUGAGACCAGGGUGCACGCCACAAAUAUGUCAACCAUGAUGUCAGGAGCCCCUUAAUUUCCUCUUCCUUUUGGGUGUGAGCAUCGUUGAUUGCUAAUAGCAAAGAAAUUAAAAAAGAAGAAUAUAAAAGUAACUUCAUUUUUUACAUGGCUUGAUUUAAAUUUUUGUGUACAUGUUCUUUGAUGAGAUAGUCUCCUAUGUCUGUCAGGUCCAGUACUAGAUUUUUUUUGACUCAGAACCAACAACCCCAAUUUAAAUGAAAUAUAGAUACACACAAUAUUUGUAAGCUACUACGGGAAUUUAGAGGUGGUCAUAGAUAUCUUGGUCAACCCAAAUAGAUAAAGAACACACAUGAAUCCAGGCUUGUGCUCUGUUUUGUAUUUCUCAUGUACGAGCAGAGUCUGUGUGUAUAUGUUGUAAGCUAGAACAAUUUAUACACACCAGAACCUAUCUGUGUAUGAGCAGAGUCAGUGUGUAUAUGUUGUAAGCUAGAACGGGUUGUAUCCACCAAAACCUCUAUAUGUGUGCCUGUACUCCUGUCAUGCUUGGAUUUUUUAUCAGACAAGAUUAUUUUUUUCAAAUGUAUAAUCCUAUUUUUCUCAGAUAUAUAUUUCUUCUUGUUCAUUCUUUUCGGCUUAAAGCACGAAUAAUCAGAAUAUACCUGUAGUGUUUGUACUAUAUGCAUACACUUUAGCUCAAAAUAAUAAUGCACUUCCUAUUACUUGCUCUGUUUUGUUAAAAUGUACGUACAUCAGUUGGUUAAUUGGCCAGGAAAUUUUGCUCUGGUGAUUGCAAAAUUAUAGUGGCUAGCCGGGACACCUAAUUCCGCCUUUGCAAUUAUAAGCUAUUAAGCUGGUGUAUUUUCUGUUAGAACUACCAGAUAUUCAUGUAACUUGGUUUCUUUUGUGGUACAUGUACCUUAGUUUAAAUAUUGAUUAACUGAUACACACUACUUAUGGUGGUCUUCUAAUCAAAUCACAGCUACAGAGAUUUCCUUGGCGAAGAUCUCGGGACACUCGGGUAAUUUAUUAUUUUCCAUAUGAUCACGAUGUAGAGGCUAGGAGAACUAUCUCCUUUUCAUUAUAUGCAUAAGUAGUGCAGAUUAUUCUGUAGGGAAUUAUUUCCUGUUUUAUUGCAUGUUGCUACUCUGUGUUAGGUGAUCAUUAUAGCCAUAUAAUGCCACUAGAUGUAGUGCCAGAUAUCUCCUUUAUUGCUUCAGUUUUAAUUAAUUAGGAAACUGGAGCAGGGUAUUAAGUUGGAUCCCCGCUCGUUUCUUUGAGACCUUCUGAUCAUGUGCUUAUUUUAGUGGAUCUGUCCUUGGAUGGUCAUUUCUGAUGAGUGAUAACCAGGGCAGUUUCACUUCCAGAAACAAGAGAAGAGGGUCUCACCGAGCCUCCUCAGAGCUCAGCGACUUUCGGCCAUCGGAUGCGUUCGCUUGAUGGAGUUUGGGUCGUCGGAUCAAGCCAUCGGACGUACUCUGCCAUCGGAUCUGGAGUAGCACUAUAGGAAUGAAUAGUUACUGCCUCCUCGCGCUGUCGCUUACUCUGUCUGUUCGACCGGGACUAGCUGACGUGUGGGGCCCCUCGCGGGUGGGCUGCGUUUGUCAGUGACCGUGGCCGCGGGUGUGGCAUGUUCGUCUCGUCGCGCGCACCGACGGGUAAAUAUCCCGCGCCACUGCACGUAAUAUCUUGCCCCCACCGAGGGUAUUUCGGUCUUUUCGCGUCCAGGCCUCGUGCGUGGUAGGCGGUGGUUGGCCCGUGCGGCUAUGGAGUGGGGGAGGGCAGCGGCUUGCCUCUUCGUGCUCCCAUUCGCCCCCUUCUCUCUGGGUCUCCUCUCCUCUCGCCGCCGAUGCUCGUGUCAGAGGCUAUUCUUGCUAGGGCGAUGAUGAUUAACUGUGGCUGAAAUAAGUGUGCCUUUGAGCAAUCGAGGCACCUGUUGGUAUCAAGUUGGAUCCUCCCUCUCGUCCCUAAAGUCAUUUUUGGUCAUGUGAUACUUAUGGUUCUGUCCUUGGAUGGUCAUUCUUGUUGAGUGAUAACCAGGGCAGCUCCACUAUGUAAACAGAUUGAUCUGGUGGUAAGAGAUGACGGGGGUAGGUUAUAUGAUCGAGGAAAGGCGAAUCUGAGCCCACUAUGCAAUUAACCCUAAACCCUUUUUCAUUUGUAUUUAAAGGUGUUGCUUAUUUAUGCUCCAGUGUUUAUAGCCGUUUUAAGUAAAGUUUUCUUCUCUCUCAUACCUUUAUUGCAUAUAAGUUGUUCUUGAUCCUUUAUUGUUUCUUGUUGGUCUUUGAUUUAAUCUGGUUAAGAGUAAGUUGCACUUUGUUAUACUAGAAAGACUCACUCCCAACAAGUUAUCGGUUGAAUGACUUGUUUUAAUUCGUUGUGAUACUAUUACUUCUAUUUUUUGCAAGUUACCAGUUGUAGCUAUUUGUUCAUGCUACAGAAAAUAAUACUAUAGGAUUUUUUGAGAUUUUUCUUGAGAUAAUGCUGGAUUGUUCAUGUAAAGAGUGACCGAGGUAGCAUGUCCCAUUUUGUAUCCAUAAACAUUUUUUUGACUGCUGUGAUUAGGUUGCUGGGUUAAUCCGAGCCAUUGAGCAGACAUUUUCUUUCGUUUUCUUUAGUUUGUUCUGAAGCUUUCCCCAAUUCUGUACGUCACCAGUGCAUUUGUUUGGAUCCUGCAGUUUGAACACUCUUCCAACUAUAGAGUUUAAAAUAUGUUACCUACAUAAAGAGGAGUUAAAUAAGGAUGAACUUACACAGCUUAUCCUUAUUUUAGCCAUAAGAGUAUUUUGUCUAUAGAGCUGAUACCCUGAAACUCUGUUUUUAUUACUGUAUUAUAUUAUGAAGGUUCAAGUAUUUGGGUUCUAGCUCCUGCUUGGAUAUGGUAGAUGCUUAUUCAUUUUCCUAUUAGUCUAGCAGGAUUACAUCAUUGAUGUCACUUCCCAACCAAUAUUAAGCUGGCAGUUGUUUAUUUUCUCUUUUGCCUAACACAUCAAAAUCUAGAGCAACACUUUUUGUUGAUUGAUAUUUCAACAGAUACUGAUUACUUCUCUUUAUUUUAUUGUAUUGUUAGCCAAUUAAAAAGGUUUUGUUGUAGGUGUAUUUUUUUGUAUGGUAUAUAUUAUGCGAGUUAUUUCUAAUGCAUCUUGAUAUUAUCUUAGAAUCAUCUGACUAGAGUCUUGGUCCUUCGAGCUUAGUUAAGUAAAGCAUCUUUUAUAUCAGAUAUCAAAUUAUCUAUACUUGUACUAAGAUAUAAUGUAUCUAACCAGAUUUUCAUUUCUUUAAUGGAGUUUUUAGCACUCAGAUUUAUUUGAAAUAGCUGCUCCUAUAUUUUUGUCAGUGCUUGCUGUACUUAGUUUAAAUGUUUCUUCUUGGUAGGAUCAGUUCUAAAUAGUGGAUGUAAGCAUGCCUUUUCAAGCUUAAGCAUUUGAUUUUUGGCGAUAUGGUGUUCUCUCCUUACAGAUGACCUUCUGCUUUCUUAUUUUUAAAAAUAGACAAGUUGGAUGCAAUUGCCGCCACUCAUGUUGCUACAGGAGUGCGCGCAGGGGGGAGUGGCGGGUCAAGGUGCGCUCAUCGGCGCCGCUGCUGACCGGCAGAUCCAGGCGCACCCUCGGUGCACGCAGGGGGGUGAUCUACGACGACCUCCUGGGCACGACACCGCUAGAGACGGUGAGAAACACGCACUCCGUCCACCAUUGGUCACCGGCAGUAGCAGGACGAACCGUCGCCGUAGCCGCCAGGCUGAACCAUAAGACGCCUCAACAGCGACUGACGAAGUCGUCGAGGCGACGGCCCGGAGGUGAACUCCAGCGACAGCGUGAACUUGGCCGGCGACCGCAAGGACCCAUCCACGGGGUCCCUUCCUCUCUGAAAACGGCCUAAUUGCUGAUAUCUUGCCUCCCCUCUCCUUCUCCCUCCUAAUUUUCAAACAAUUUCGGUAUGGUAUUACUGUUAGGUAACCCUACAAACUUUGUUGGAACCUAAAAAAUAGGUACUCCUGAUGGAUUAGAGUGGUUCUGCCUGAAACAACUUCCAAUGAAUUGUUGAAUUAGCCAAUGUCAUAAUUAGUAAACCCGUGCCGUUAUAUUCUGUAAUGAGAUCACAUUAUGCCCAUGUUUAGAUGACACUAACCCAAGUUUACUUUCUGAUUCCCUUAAUUUCUCUACCUAAUUCUUGUGGCGGCAUGCUUUCAUCAGUUUCAAUGCGAUGAAGAUGACAGAUCCAACAUGGUAUCCUUUACGGAUGAACAGGAGUUAAGAGGCAUGUGUGUAAGUGUUGCAUAUAUUGUUCGAAGAUCUUCCGUGUCAUUCCAAUAUGUACCAUGCCAUGCUACAGAACGAUCAAACAUAUAUUCUGUAUUGGUUUAUUCCUUCGGUGAUUAAUUUCAGGCCACCCAGGCCACACAAAGAAGGCCCACUGGUUUUUUGGACAGGAUAAGUGCACUUCAGGCCACCCAGGGUCAGGCUUUCAGCAGAGACACCAGAGGAGAUACCUUUGUGCGAGACUGCUCUCGGUUGAAAAUAUCCAAAGGUUGGUGCCUCAAGCUAAACUUAUCACCUGUGAUUCUUUCCCUUUGAUCCAUUUGCUCCAUGCAACCCCUUCUUUGGACAAGCGAUAGUUAUAGUCGUCAUGGACUCCGAUGAGAUUCUCGACGAAGCGAUACCCGAGUGGUUGGAAUUGGCAAUCAUAUGCUUCCAGCGGUAUCACUCGCCAUGAUGAGCUCCACCAUUGGUUCUAACUUUGUGUACUUAUCAAGACUGCCAUCUAACUGUCACCAGCCUUUGUAUAAACGCCUUGCUUUUAGUAUUUUGUGAUGUUCGGCUGUCCUGUAAUGUGCUACUUAGUUUUCGGUCCCUUGCUAUGUAACAAACUUACACUAAUUAUUAAUAAUGGUAAUUCAACUUGUGGGAUGCAUUCAUUUCUAUAUAAAUGACUUGCUGUAAUCCUGAUCUAUCAAGAAUUUUGAUGGUUUUUAUUGAACCAUAUCUUACUUUGUACUGCACUUAUAUGAUUUGUAUUGGUUUACAUACUCCCCUGAUAAAUACCAGGCGCUAGAUUAUUGGAUCACUACUUUAGACAUAUUUUUGUAAUGACAAAAUGUGUCAUGUUUGUCAUACUUUUGGUAUAUAUGUUGUCUUGCCGUUUGGCAAUGCCCUGUAUUUUAUGUAAAUUUACUGUAUUGGUCUAAUCCAUUCUAAGCAAUUGCUUUAGUUCCCUAUGUUAACAAACGCACUGAAAUUGAUUUUGUCUUAGUCUCAUGCCGAUGUUUAUCAUCAUUGUGUCUUGCUCCUAUCACAACUGAACGUUUCUUCUUCACUAUUUUGUUAUGUUGUAUGAAUGC